ACCCGAUCCCAUCCCGAACUCGGCAGUUAAGCAUGGUUGCGCCGAUGGUACUGCAACUUAAGUUGUGGGAGAGUAGGUCAUCGCCAAUC
rnacentral:rRNA from 1 species